CCUACGGGUGGCAGCAGUGGGGGAUAUUGCACAAUGGGGGAAACCCUGAUGCAGCGACGCCGCGUGAGUGAAGAAGUAUUUCGGUAUGUAAAGCUCUAUCAGCAGGGAAGAAAAUGACAGUACCUGACCAAGAAGCCCCGGCUAACUACGUGCCAGCAGCCGCGGUAAUACGUAGGGGGCAAGCGUUAUCCGGAGUUACUGGGUGUAAAGGGUGCGUAGGCGGUUAUACAAGUUAGAAGGGGAAUACCCAGGGCUUAACUCGGGUGCUGCUUCUAAAACUGUAAGACUUGAGUGCAGUAGAGGUUAGUGGAAUGCCUAGUGUAGCGGUGGAAUGCGUAGAUAUUAGGAGGAACACCAGAGGCGAAGGCGGCUAACUGGACUGCAACUGACGCUGAGGCACGAAAGUGUGGGGAGCAAACAGGAUUAGAUACCCGAGUAGUC
rnacentral:rRNA from 1 species